UAAUACGAAGGGGACUAGCGUUGUUCGGAUUUACUGGGCGUAAAGCGCGCGUAGGCGGAUCACUAAGUCAGGGGUGAAAUCCCGAGGCUUAACCUCGGAACUGCCUUUGAUACUGGUGAUCUGGAGAUUGGGAGAGGUUGGUGGAAUUCCGAGUGUAGAGGUGAAAUUCGUAGAUAUUCGGAGGAACACCAGAAGCGAAGGCGGCCAACUGGCCCAAUACUGACGCUGAGGCGCGAAAGCGUGGGGAGCAAACAGGAUUAGAUACCCUGGUAGUCCACGCCCUAAACGAUGAAUACUUGGUGUUGGUUCUUUUGAAUCAGUGCCGAAGGUAACCUGUUAAGUAUUCCACCUGGGGAGUACGCUCGCAAGGGUG
rnacentral:rRNA from 1 species